AAGUUGUGACAAGCAUGGACGGAUAGCAAACAUCUUUGCGUAUGUUAUCAUAUGGAGAAUAGCUAAGGAUGGAUCGGAAGUCGGUGUGGAUAUCCGGGUUCCCAAAUUCUUCAUGGUCCAAGAGUGUGAGAGGUAAAUUUGGAUCUGAUAAUGUGUUUAACACGUCUACAAAAGGAACCUGCCCAAAUAGUACAAUCUUGAUGAUAUAAGCUUUUGGUUAUUCUGGACACAACUUGAUGCAUUUGCUUUUACCUUCAAAAUCGCAGUUCGAAAUAGACUUGGGUGCAUAUUCAUGGCUGCAGCUGGAAGAAUAGCUCCUGCGCUGUACCCAAUAGCAGCAAGAUGGUGUCUAUGCACAUAGCCCUUUUCGAUU
rnacentral:lncRNA from 1 species